AUCCAGCUGAUGAGUCCCAAAAUAGGACGAAACACCCGUCCUGGAU
rfam:Schistosoma curassoni strain Dakar, Senegal genome assembly, scaffold: SCTD_contig0011932